UACGGAGGGUGCGAGCGUUGUCCGGAAUCACUGGGCGUAAAGGGCGCGUAGGCGGCGCGGGGAGUCAACGGUGAAAGCUCGGCGCUCAACGCCGAGUCGGCCGUCGAUACUCCCGUGCUCGAGCACUGUAGAGGCAGGUGGAAUUCCGGGUGUAGCGGUGGAAUGCGUAGAGAUCCGGAAGAACACCGGUGGCGAAGGCG
rnacentral:rRNA from 1 species